GAUGAACGCUGGCGGCGUGCCUAAUACAUGCAAGUCGAGCGAACGGACGAGAAGCUUGCUUUUCUGAUGUUAGCGGCGGACGGGUGAGUAACACGUGGAUAACCUACCUAUAAGACUGGGAUAACUUCGGGAAACCGGAGCUAAUACCGGAUAAUAUUUUGAACCGCAUGGUUCAAAAGUGAAAGACGGUCUUGCUGUCACUUAUAGAUGGAUCCGCGCUGCAUUAGCUAGUUGGUAAGGUAACGGCUUACCAAGGCAACGAUGCAUAGCCGACCUGAGAGGGUGAUCGGCCACACUGGAACUGAGACACGGUCCAGACUCCUACGGGAGGCAGCAGUAGGGAAUCUUCCGCAAUGGGCGAAAGCCUGACGGAGCAGCGCCGCGUGAGUGAUGAAGGUCUUCGGAUCGUAAAACUCUGUUAUUAGGGAAGAACAUAUGUGUAAGUAACUGUGCACAUCUUGACGGUACCUAAUCAGAAAGCCACGGCUAACUACGUG
rnacentral:rRNA from 1 species